AUGUAGGGGAAAUGCAUACCAAGCCUUUCUUGAAAGCGUGCGAGAGGAGCACAGACAGAAGAGGACUCCCUCGUCUGACAAGCCUUAAUCAAUGGGCAUUGCCGCUAAAUCAUGGAGGGAGGAAUAUGCCCCUAAAACAGAUAACCAUCCUCUCUCAAAUCCUUAUCCUUUCAAUUUGAUGUUUCAAACAUCAAUUGGUCCAUCUGGUUCGAGCACUGGUUUCUUUCGCCCAGAAACUGCACAAGGCAUAUUUGUGAAUUUUAUGGACAUUUACUUUGACAAUGGGUACAAGCUGCCUUUUGCUGUUGCUCAAGUUGGCCAGGCCUUUGGAAACGAGGUCAUAAUUUUCUGUUAUAUAUAUAUAUAUAUAUUUGUUUUUAUCUAUUAUUACUUUUUAUUUAUUUAUGUUUUUGUUAAGAGAUAAGAAGGGAUUUGGUGGGGUUUUUUUGAUGGGGUGGUGGAUGGGGUUUCUGAAGAAAGGAAGAGAGGAGGAGACGGGAAGGAAAGAGAAGAAGAAAAGGAAAGAUGAAAAAGAAGAAAA